rnacentral:rRNA from 1 species
AGAUUGAACGCUGGCGGCAGGCCUAACACAUGCAAGUCGAGCGGCAGCACGGGUACUUGUACCUGGUGGCGAGCGGCGGACGGGUGAGUAAUGCCUAGGAAUCUGCCUGAUAGUGGGGGAUAACGCUCGGAAACGGACGCUAAUACCGCAUACGUCCUACGGGAGAAAGCAGGGGACCUUCGGGCCUUGCGCUAUCAGAUGAGCCUAGGUCGAUUAGCUAGUUGGUGGGUAAUGGCUC